AAGGCAAAAGCAUAAAUGAUUUGAGAGGUAGAAUAUAGAUUUGGAUUCGAGAUAGUCGACAGACGGCAGUUAUUGAUGUAUAUUGCAAAGUCGAUUACAUCGGGAAAUCUGGAAAUCUGAUCGGCAGUCUUCUGCUGAGCGACAGAGGUGUAGUUGUGGAUUUCCACGAACCACCGUUGGAUUCCCGACGAUUUUCUAAACCUUGGGUCAUCGUCGUACUUGAUUCGUACAAGAAGAAGGAUCUCUCAUUGAUCAAAAAGUAUGGGGCCGAGCGUUAGUUAGCAGAGGCUAGAUAUUAAAGCUUCCAGACCGGGAAGCAUGAAUUCUAUAUGUAAAUGCAUCCGCCAACGAUGAAAUCGAAUCCAAAUUGGGGGCCAAAACAUCCACAGAGCAUCAACUUGGCAUAUUGGCUCUGGUAUUGAACCCUGUCUGGAAACUAUAGCGUAGAGGCGGUAGAGCUACCCACCACCUAAUGUAUUGUUUGAUCCAACUCUGUAUAACUUCACAAUAUUGCUUGUUCUCCCUACUUAGCUUGUUGUUUGGUUGAUCAAGUAUCAACUGUAACAGCUUAUGAUGAUGAUCUCUUGAUAUUUGCUUUUUAAUGUUAUUGAAUGAUAGGAACUGAUUAUGCAAGAACUGAUGUUGUCAUUGAAUGCCGGGAAUUUUAGGAGCAGUUAAUGCUUUUGCACAUGUAAUGUUUUCAAUUUUUCAUGCUUCUGUUUUUUCCGCAUUAUUGAUUAUGAACGUCCUUCAAAUCGUGUUUUUUUGCUAUUGCCAUGUCAUUUACUGUUUUCUUUGAUAUGGUUAAUCCAGUAAAUAGCCCAUCUGCUAGGGUGGAGUGAAGGAAGUCUUGCCCUUUUUUUGCAAAUUGUCCAUUGUUUGGUUCGUCCGAAGAAGUGAAAGUCAUAGCAUUGAUUGCAUUUAAGAUAUUAUAUCUGAUAAGUAUAUGCAAUUGUAUAAUUUGUCCUCAAGUGUGCUUGUUAUUGAUAAUGUAUAAUACCAUAAGGCAACUGAAAUGUUUGUACAGAAAACCGAAGCGAAAGGAGUGCUUGUAGGACUCCAGCUUGUAUUGCAGUUUUAGGCUUUACUCGAUGGAGUUGAAGGACUUCAAAAUCUUGUUGUAAAUGUUGUUUACUUGCUCUUUUGAUACUUGAUGUGGACCCCUUGAUGAGUUGAAGAACUUUAGAAUCAUGUUGUCGAGUUGUUUGGUUGCUCUUCAGAUACUUGGUGAGGGUUGUUGAUGAACUAUGGCUGACUGGUUGAAUGCAUUUUGGCUUUUCCAGACUUAUACUUUACAAUCACUUAUUGUGACUCACUUAACAAUUUAUGAGUACCAACUAGCAAGCAUAAUUUUUUUUUAAAUAAUAAUAAUAAAAUCUAUCAAGCAUGGUGGAAUAAAAGGUUUGGUAAAUUGGAUUGUGACUCACUUAACAACUUAUGAGUAGCAACUACAAAGCAUAGUUAUU